GAGGGACACACGGGCUGGGGACGGCGGAGGGAGAUGUCGGCGGAGAAGGGCGAUGCGCGUGGGCGUGGAAUCUCCUGCCCUGAGCACCUGGAUGGAGCUCGAGAGUCGCUGGGCGGCCGGGGGGGAAGGAGGCAAAGAUUCUCCCUUGGCUCCCAGCGGUGCGCGGGCCCCGAAGCUUUGGAAGGGAACGGCCCCGGCCGGGGAGCGAAGGGAACGCGAGGGAGCAAGCAGGUGACAAGGAGUGUGAGGGGGACGUGGUGGCAGCAGCUGACAGACAGACAGACAGAUCUAGAUUUGUGACACAGCAGUGGAAAAAGUGCAGAAAUAUCAGCACCUGGGGGGACAAGGAAGGAGUAUGACAAGAGCAGAAGAACUGGAGUCCCCGGGGUUUCCCAGCAGGUGCUUGUGGGAGGUGGUAGAAAGGCAAUGAUGGCUUCCUUACCAACCUUGGACUCUCCGGCAGCCACGUGAAGCCUCUUCAGUCGGAGGGCUCUCCUCUCCUCCCCUCUCUGCUGUUGACAUGCUCUGCAUUUUUGCCAGCAAAGCCCUCCAUGGAGCCCCAAGUGAAGGACUGCAGAGCUGCUGGGUUUGAGCUGACUGCUCUUGGCAGGACCAGGAGCUCUGAGAUGACCAGAGCGCAUUCCACACAGGCAGAAGGAAAGCUGUCACUGCUGCCAGUUCUUCAGGUGAGAGCAGGGCCUGAGGAAGACACAUGCAGAAAGAUGCAGGCUAGCCAUGCUUGGGAAGGUGCACAGCCUGUGAGCUGAACCUUUGCUGGCAACCAGCUGCUGCUUGCUUUUGUUUUGCUGCAGCUAUUCGCCCACCUAGUUGCACGGGCAGCUGAGCCACCCACAGCACUUCUGCCUGCUUGGCUCUGUGUGAGAGCCUCAGCCCUGCACAGGGCAGCUGUGAGCUGACUGCUGUGGGCUCAGCACGGCUGCCCCUCCACCGGCGAGUGUGUGUACAAUGGGGAGCUUCACUUGUGCCAAGGGGGACUCAUCCAACCCAAGGCCUGGCAAUGUGCUGGGCUGGCUGGCCAGCCCAACCCAACAGCAAGCUGCGCUGCUUUUCCUCUCCACCUGUGGGAGGGGCUAGGCCAUGCCAUGGCGAGGGGGUGAACAACUCGGCGGGGGCGGCAGCACCCCCUCACUGGGAGAGGGGAGCAGCACCAAUCCUGGCGGCCCUGCUGGCCUUCCCCACCACUGCGCCCCAGGGGGAAGGAGCGAGGGCUGCUGUGCAGCUUUCGGCGUGUGGCACCUCAUGCGAGAUGGUGGUGCACGCA